GACGAACGCUGGCGGCGUGCAUAAUACAUGCACGUAGAACGCAGUUGCGAACGUGUACGUAACGCGUCGGUAACUGCCUCAUAGCGGGGGAUAAAAAUUGGAACCGAUAGCUAAUACCGCCUACUGUGAAAUGGACUGGCGUGGUAUUGGCUAUUUGGUGCGGUAAAGGCUCACCAAGGCGACGAUUCAUAGCCGACCUGAGAGGGUGACCGGCCACACUGCGACUGGGCCACGGCCCGGACUCUUACGGGACGCAGCAGGAGGGAAACUUCGGCAAUGGACGGAAGCCUGAUCGAGCCACGCCGCGUGAGUGAAGAAGGUUUUCGGAUCGUAAAGCUCUGUUGUUAGAGAAGCUGUAACUAACCAGAAAGGAACGGCUAACUACGUGUCAGCAGCCGCGGUAAUAC
rnacentral:rRNA from 1 species